UAAAGCAUUUAGAGUUAAUCCCUUACUGAAG
rnacentral:piRNA from 1 species